GACGUAGGGUGCGAGCGUUUGUCCGGAUUUAUUGGGCGUAAAGAGCUCGUAGGCGGCUUGUUGCGUCGACUGUGAAAACCCGGCGCUUAACCGCGGCUUGCAGUUGAUACGGGCAGGCUAGAGUUCGGUAGGGGAGACUGGAAUUCCUGGUGUAGCGGUGAAAUGCGCAGAUAUCAGGAGGAACACCGGUGGCGAAGGCGGGUCUCUGGGCCGAUACUGACGCUGAGGAGCGAAAGCGUGGGGAGCGAACAGG
rnacentral:rRNA from 1 species